CUGUUCGAAUAUGGACUCUCCAUUGGAAUACAACAAUUAUAUCUAUAAGCGCUUUGCCAUGCUAUUAUCGGAGUGUAUUUAGAGCUUUUGCUACGAUUCUUGCUCUCGUGCUUGCACCAAUACUCUCCAAUCUCGUGGUGUCUAUAUUUUGGGAAUUUCUCUUCUUAGCUGAAGAUCGGUGGGUCUCUAUGUACAACAGUGUUGACCUGUGUGGUGGGUGUGUAUCCCCUUUGUGGCCAUGAUGGUGCGGUUCUCGUCCCCUAUGCGGUAACAGUGGCUUUAUGUUGUAUUUUGUUUUGAAUUUGUGAUGGGGAAGAUUAUUAUACUAGACUGUACUGGUUCUAGUCUAAUCUUCCAUGUGUUUGUGGGGCUUUGUUUGUUCCUGGCCUUUUCGGCUUUUGUUUUCUCUGUUUGUUUGCUUCAUUGCCCAAUUGAGACGAAUCUUAUUGUGAAAUAAAUGAGAAUCGAGGUCAUUUC